ACUCAGGUCCUUCCCCCAACCAGGUGGUCCUUGAGGUGCAAGCUGGAGACCCCACGUUGCAGGCGAUCGCAGAAGCAGAGUCAGGUAGACAGCCUGAGGAGAGUUCCCAAACUGGACCAAUUUCGGGAGGAGGUGACUUCAGAUGAAGGAGGCUUGGAAGAUAUAUUGGAAGGAACUUACACAAAGUCCAGAGGCUGGACCAUAGAAGAGAGGUCAAGAUUCUGUGGAUCAGGAAUUAAGCCACGACUUGGCUUGGCAACUGGGCAAUUCUUCUGCUCCCUGUGGCAUCAUCAGUGGUCACUCAGUGGGACUCAGCUGACCGACAGAUUAGUCCAGAGGAUCCAAGACAGCUUCACACAGACCUGAAUGACUGGCUGAGCUCAGCUAGAAGUGUCUUCAGGAGUACCUGCGCAUGGCCUUGCCAGCUGGCCAGUCUCACGGCAGGCUUACCUGGCGGCUGCUCCCUCCAGAGUGAGCGCUGCAGGAGAACCAGACAGAAGCUGGCCUUUCGUGAUACAGCCGCUGAAGCCAUGUAGCAUUACUUCCUAUAAAAUGUUGGUCGAAACAGCCACAGCAUCCCAUCUGGAGUCACAGGGAGGGGACAGAGACCCACCUUUCGAUGGAAGGAAUAACAGUGACCAUUUAAAAAAAAUGCCACAAGGAUAAGUUGUUCUCAGUGCAACAAGUCCAGAGAGGUUCAGCAACUUUCCCCAAGGACAGUUACGGAUAUGAACGGUGCUAGGAAGGAAACAAAAAACAGGGUGAAAGGCAGAGAAUGAAAGGAGAUGGUGGGAAACCAGGACCUGCUGUAUAGCAGAGGG
ensembl:lncRNA